AUUGUAGUUUCUUAUCACAUAGUUUAUUUUAUCAAUUUAACAUAAUUUUUAGAAAUAAACAAGUACCUACUUAUUAUAUAAUAAAUUCUCACUGUUAAAUGAAUACUAUUAUGCUGAAAUAUUCUUAAGUCUAGUAACACGACCAAUGUUAGUAAUUUCAAUAUGUUUUUAUUAAUAUAAUGAUUCCGUUUACUACGAUUACAAGUAUCAUAUUCAUAACAUUGUUAAUUUUGUUUCAUUAAAUUUAAAAAGGGUACAACUACUUUUCUGAGGUAAUUUAUUUAAAAUACAAAUAUUCCUAAUCUAUAUAUACAUUUAUAUAACACUUAUUUGAUUCAAUUUAUAUUAUGAUAUUACUCUUUUUGUUUUUAUUACCGUGUUAUAGUUAACCAUGACAUCCAUAUUAUGGAUACUAUUUACAACAGUGAUUUGUGUGGUAAAUUUGGUUGUAAGUGCUCCUCCAACAUAUGUCACAAGCACUAGACCAACAGUUCGUUUAUCUGAUCAAGAAUUUGAUCAUAUUAUACAGGAACAACAUGAAAACACUAAACAAAAUAAUCAUCCACCUCCUGAUGAUAAAACUUUGGUAAAUACCUAUAUAAUAUGAACCAAUGAUGAAUUAUUUAAUUUUGUCAUGAAUAUUAUCAAGGUUUUAUAGGAAUAAUAAA